rnacentral:rRNA from 1 species
AUUGAACGCUGGCGGCAGGCCUAACACAUGCAAGUCGAACGAGUGGCGGACGGGUGAGUAAUGUCUGGGAAACUGCCUGAUGGAGGGGGAUCACUACUGGAAACGGUAGCUAAUACCGCAUACCAUCAGAUGUGCCCAGAUGGGAUUCGCUAGUGGGUGUGGUAACGGCUCACCAAGGCGACGAUCCGUAGCUGGUCUGCGAGGAUGACCAUCCACACUGUAACUGAGACCCGGUCCAGACUCCUACGGGAGGCAGCAGUGGGGAAUAUUGGACAAUGGGCGAAAGCCUGAUUCAGCCAUGCCGCGUGUAUGAAGAAGGCCUUCGGGUUGUAAAGUACUUUCAGUGGGGAGGCGUUACCCGCAGAAGAAGCACCGGCUAACUCCGUGCCAGCAGCCGCGGUAAUUC